GACGCUAGCGGCAGGCUUAACACAUGCAAGUCGAGGGGCAGCGCGAUGAAGUAGCAAUACGGAAUUGGCGGCGACCGGCGCAAGGGUGCGUAACGCGUGAGCAACAUGCCCGUAUCUGGGACAUAACCGGUGGAAACGCCGACUAAUUUCCCAUAACACUGGUUCAGGCAUCUGGAUUAGUUGAAAGAUUCGUCGGAUACGGAUUGGUUCGCGUGAUAUUAGCUAGUUGGCGGGGUAACGGCCCACCAAGGCGACGAUAUCUAGGGGUUCUGAGAGGAAGGUCCCCCACAUUGGAACUGAGACACGGUCCAAACUCCUACGGGAGGCAGCAGUGAGGAAUAUUGGUCAAUGGACGGAAGUCUGAACCAGCCAUGCCGCGUGAAGGAAUAAGGUCCUAUGGAUUGUAAACUUCUUUUGUACGGGAGCAAUAAAGCCCACGUGUGGGUUGAUGAGAGUACCGUACGAAUAAGCAUCGGCUAACUCCGUGCCAGCAGCCGCGGUAAUACGGAGGAUGCAAGCGUUAUCCGGAUUUAUUGGGUUUAAAGGGUGCGUAGGCGGUAUGGUAAGUCAGUGGUGAAAUGUCUCCGCUCAACGGAGAACGUGCCAUUGAUACUGUCGUACUGGAAUUCUGAUGCCGUGGGAGGAAUGUGUAGUGUAGCGGUGAAAUGCUUAGAUAUUACACAGAACACCGAUUGCGAAGGCAUCUCACGAAUCAGACAUUGACGCUGAGGCACGAAAGUGUGGGGAUCAAACAGGAUUAGAUACCCUGGUAGUCCACACUGUAAACGAUGAUAACUAACCGUUGGCGAUAUACAGUCAGUGGCCAAGCGAAAGCGAUAAGUUAUCCACCUGGGGAGUACGUUCGCAAGAAUGAAACUCAAAGGAAUUGACGGGGGCCCGCACAAGCGGAGGAACAUGUGGUUUAAUUCGAUGAUACGCGAGGAACCUUACCCGGGCUCGAACGGCAGGCGAAGGAGGCAGAGAUGCUGACGUCCGCAAGGACGCCUGUCGAGGUGCUGCAUGGUUGUCGUCAGCUCGUGCCGUGAGGUGUCGGCUUAAGUGCCAUAACGAGCGCAACCCUUGUCGUUAGUUGCCAUCAGGUGAUGCUGGGGACUCUAGCGAGACUGCCACCGUAAGGUGUGAGGAAGGGGGGGAUGACGUCAAAUCAGCACGGCCCUUACGUCCGGGGCGACACACGUGUUACAAUGGUGAGUACAGAGGGAGGCUACCUGGUGACAGGAUGCAAAUCUCGAAAACUCAUCUCAGUUCGGACUGGAGUCUGCAACUCGACUCCACGAAGCUGGAUUCGCUAGUAAUCGCGCAUCAGCCAUGGCGCGGUGAAUACGUUCCCGGGCCUUGUACACACCGCCCGUCAAGCCAUGAAAGCCGAAGGGUGCCUGAAGUCCGCGACCGCAAGGAACGGCCUAGGGCAAAAUUGGUAAUUGGGGC
rnacentral:rRNA from 1 species